UAAAAUGGCUAAAAGGAUUGUCCUGAUUUGGAAGUAUAUCCAGAAGCAUAUCCAAACACUGCUUGACUGUCUCGGCCCUAUAUAUUUGCAAUGGCAACAUACAGUUCAAAGAUGAAAUGUGCAAGGUCAUGAAAAUUGGACUGCUCUGUGUAUCGGCCCUAUAUAUCUGAUCUUGAGAAGUUCAUUCCAGGUAGCAGUUAGCUGGGUCUGAAACACAACAUGGUGAUUGCUAAAGCUUGUAACUGUAGUAGUCUUUUGCUCUGAAUGAGAAAGUGCUGGCUGCUGUCAAUUUGUCUCUGGCAUUUUUUUAUGUUCAUGACUUUCCAGGUAGCAGCUAGCUAGGUCUGAAACACAGCAUGGUGAUUGCUAAAGCUUGUAACUGUAGUAGCC
rnacentral:lncRNA from 1 species